GUGAUAUGUGUAAGUAUGAGGCUGACAACUACACCAUUAGUGGGUCUUCAGAUAUCAGAUAUUUGAGCACUGGAGGGUCACUAAAUGGUUUAGGCAAUGGAGCAGAGAUGUUGCUGCUUUAAAUAAAAGGAACUCUACGGAGGAUUUGUGUGGUGGGUAAUAAUAGUGCAUUCCAUUUACCUCGGAACUCUGAAGCAGAAACUGGGAAUGACAUCCCACCCGAGUUGAAUGUGUUCAAUUUACAAGUCUGAGUUUUACUGUUUUCAUUAGCUCUAGCCAGGUUAGCCAGUGUUAGCAC